rnacentral:misc_RNA from 1 species
UCUCCGUUGGUGAACCAGCGGAGGGAUCAUUACAGAGUUAUCUAACUCCCGAACCCAUGUGAACUUACCAUUUGUUGCCUCGGCAGAGCCUACCCGGGACCUCGCGCCCCGGGCGGCCCGCCGGCGGACAAACCAAACUCUGUUAUCUUCGUUGAUUAUCUGAGUGUCUUAUUUAAUAAGUCAAAACUUUCAACAACGGAUCUCUUGGUUCUGGCAUCGAUGAAGAACGCAGC